CGUGCAAUUCAAGAUUUUAUAAAUGAAAUGUCAAAAACCCAUGAAAACGUUUGUUACGAAAAAAUGGGAUUUUUUAUAAGCCCUAAGUGGCCGUGUUUUGGAGCAUCGCCAGAUGGUAUUAUUGAACUGUUGUGGGAUUUCAUUAUUAGAAUUAAACGGUAAUGAGUUGCAUCUUCAAGACGAUCACAGCUACUACUACCAAAUUCAGAUGCAGUUAGCUUUGACACAGGAACAGAAAUGUUACUUGGUAGUAUGGAGCCCCAAAAAUAUGAUUUAUACCUGUGUAUAUUUUAAUGAUAACUUCUGGACUCAAGAAAGUGCUAAAGCACAACAGUUUUUUUACAAGUGUGUAUUACCUGAAGUCUUAGGUAAAUAUUUUACAAGAAGUAGGACUGAAGAGGAAGUCUCAACCCAAGUCUCAACAGCUGCAGAAACCGACUGGGAUGUUUCAACUUCUGAAAAUGUAUCUUUGUUUGAAGAGGCUAUAACUGAACCUUCAACAAGUAAAGCGACUUCCAUUGAUGCAGUUUUAUAUCGCAUAUGCCAAGAAGAAGAUGACCAAAAAACGCCUAUGAUAGCAUGCGAAUCAGGUGUAUGCUCAAUUGAGUGGUACCACUUAGCUUGUGUUGGACUAGAGAGUGUACCAGAUGGAGUGUGGAUUUGUGACAGGUGUAAAAAAUAAAUUUUGUUAUAUUUUUAGUGUUUUAUUCAACAAAAAUUUAAAAAAAUAUCCAGAUAAAAAUGAACAAAAAAACAACAAAUAAAAAUUAAUAAAGAAAAUUCUAAUCAAGGGGUACUAUUGGAGGACACAUAUUAAUAAAAGCAGAACACACAACAACUAUCAUAUCUAUUAAAGAACCUUGCUCACCCUCUUUUUUAAGUAUAAAUAUAGGAAAUGUACCAUUGAAAAUUUUGUACUUGCCUUUGAGUAAACCAAUAACUCUUUCUACGUGUACACGUACGCUUGCUAGUUUCCGAGUUUUUUCAAUAUUUAUUGGAGCAAGUUGUUUUUUCCCCCUUCCAAAUGCUGGCAUUUCUACUUGGGCGCAAUAAAGAUUUACAUCAUCCUGAAUUUUAUCAAAUCCUUUAUUAGCGAGUACUAAGUCUCCAGGAAUAAGUUUGUCCAAAAAAUCCGAAUCGUCAGUAACAAACUUAUCACUAGCACGUCCUCCAUAUGCAUUUGAAAUAAAAAUUAUGCAGCCUUGUGGCGCAACACCAAUCAAAAACUUGAUUGUGUGGUGGUGCUUGUACUGCGACCAGGUUUUUGCUGCAGUAUCAGGACUUUAUGACUGCUCAAUAAAUACUUCAAACGCAUCAAUAAUUACAGUGAUUUUUAGACCAAAUAUAUUUUUAAAUGAUGUGGGCAUAUUUAAGUGUAGUUCGUCCCUUGAUGGCCAAUAAAUGAAACUUUUAAGUUGGCAAUAUAAAAUGUUUAUAGUUCUUUCAAACGUUCUUGACGCCGUUGUUCUGUGACAUUGAAAAAGUUUUCCUAAAAAGGUGAACUGUAAAUUGAAACGGAGUUUCAUUAACGUUAGUAAGAGCUGGUGAAAUUUUGACAAAGUUGCAGUGCCUGGUAAAUAGGGCUCAAUAGUAUUCAAAACGCCUUUUAAAUAUGUAUAUUCAGGGAACCCCGUGUAAUAUAGAACUUCUUCAUCAUUAUGAAUAAAAUAUUCUUCUUCCAUCUUA